UUGCUCCGAUGGAAUAUGGGUAUAAAUAUCCCUCCGACCUGAGACCGCCAUGGUGACUUGCAAGCAACUCACUGCACUUAGGCACUGGACUACCUGAAUUUUUAAUUCAGAGAUGGAAGGCUGCUGGGUGUAGUCAAGUACUUGACUUGUCGGUGUGUGUGUCAAGAUGGGAUUGACCACUCCAGUUUAGGAGCUAUGUACAGUCAUGUUUCAAUUUAGCAAAAUCUUGGCCAGGGUAGUCCUUGUGAGGAGUCACAGGACUGUUUGAGUUGAGCACGAUUCGGAUGAUCUGAUCAGGGUUGACAGUUUAACCCUGAGUCAUCCUAAACACAAAGGUCAAAAGGAUGAAGUAUACAGUAAUCAUAUUCACGUAGGUUUUGAGUAUUGCGAUUGCGACCAUUCGACC
rnacentral:lncRNA from 1 species